UAUCGGAACGUGCCCUGGAUGGGGGAUAACUAGUCGAAAGACUAGCUAAUACCGCAUACGAUCUACGGAUGAAAUGGGGGAUCGCAAGACCUCAUGCUCGUGGAGCGGCCGAUAUCUGAUUAGCUAGUUGGUGGGGUAAAGGCCUACCAAGGCAUCGAUCAGUAGCUGGUCUGAGAGGACGACCAGCCACACUGGGACUGAGACACGGCCCAG
rnacentral:rRNA from 1 species